CCUACGGGUGGCUGCAGUGAGGAAUAUUGGUCAAUGGCCGAGAGGCUGAACCAGCCAAGUCGCGUGAGGGAAGACGGCCCUACGGGUUGUAAACCUCUUUUGUCGGGGAGCAAAGAGAGUCACGUGUGACUCAUUGAGAGUACCCGAAGAAAAAGCAUCGGCUAACACCGUGCCAGCGGCCGCGGUAGUACGGGGGAUGCGAGCGUUAUCCGGAUUGAGUGGGUUAAAGGGGUGCGCAGGCGGAGGUGCAAGUCAGCGGUCAAAUUGCGGGGCUCAAACUCGUACUGCCGUUGAAACUGCAUCCCUUGAGUGCGCGAGAAGUAUGCGGAAUUCGGGGUGUAGCGGUGAAAUGCAUAGAUAUACGGCAGAACACCGAUUGCGAAGGCAGCAUACCGGCCCGCAACUGACGCUCAGGCACGAAAGCGUGGGUAGCGAACAGGAUUAGAUACCCCUGUAGUC
rnacentral:rRNA from 1 species